CCUGCCUACGGCACGUGGGGUGGGAAGGGAAUGGGCCGUUCCGAGCCAAUCCGUUCUGUAGUUCUGUGCUGCUGACCCUCCGAAUGACUGUCGUUUUAAACAUCCCUAUAAAUAUAUACACGCAGAAACAUUUCUGCGGAGAUGCCGUACCGCUUGCCUCUAAAUGCCACAAAGUUUCUAUAUUUACCGGCGUUGACUGUGGCCUCCAAUAAAUCAGUCCCGGGCAGCAAGUAAUCCCACCUGCACCGUGUUCUGCCGACCGUGGCUGCGCAUGUGUGAGAUCCACAUUGGAGACCUCGAUCCCCACCGCUUUGUUUGAUGCGAGAACACGUUGUGCAUUUUAUUUUCAGCAGGUUUUGCUUUGAUAGUACGGGCUCAGAGGGUGAUGCUGUUAGUUAUUGCUGCGGGAAAAAGUUUUUCAUCUUUACUGUUACCAAGGACGUAGUCCCGCUCCCCUUGAAAUUAAUACCUUGAAUAAAAAGUCCCCCCGGUGAGCAAAGCUUUUUUUCUUGGAAAAAGUCUAUUGAUGCCAACAGGUAAAAGACCUCUUCAAGGUGCCAGCCAUACCGCUCAGCAUUGCAAGGCUACCGAUGAAAGGUUAUCAGAAGGAAAAACUACACUACACUUGCACUCGAAACCACUUUGAUACACUGACAGAAAUAACGACAAAAACAAAUAAUAGUAAUGUAGGCGCGUAUGGGAACGGCUGCGUCAGGGCCUGAACCUCUCAUUGAUCACUUGAAGCGAGCACAGAAUCAGCCACGGGAGCACAGGUGAAGGCAAUUCAGCUGUGCUGCUGGAAGGGGUGGAGCCUGGCUGCACCUCUCCCAGACCCAUUUAAGAGCUGGCUACGGGGAGGGAAGGUUUUCUUUCUGGAGGUCCCUCCUUUGCAGUUUUACGAUGAGCCUGGGAUGUAGUUCAGAGUUUUGCGGAACUGAGAAGUGACGAAAAGGCAGGGACCUGGCCCUUUGUGUUGGAACUGUUGCGCAAAUUAGAUGGCAGACGUGGGAGGGGGCUCGCAGGACGGCCUAUGCUGCUACUCUACUAUGCAGAGCAGUUUUGGCAAAAAAAUCUGGAAGUGAAGGCAGUAACCAGCCUCUGCUAUGAUAGAAAGACAGUCCUGAAAGACUGAAUGGAAGGAUUUGUGGUCAUCGGGGUGCAAAAGUGCAAAUUAGAAGUGCAAACGAGGCUACUCUGCAACAAAGCUAAGACUGCUUUCUAAGCUCUACGGCUAACAAUUUUCCAGUCCUACUUCAUACAGAUACCAUAAGUGAAGCAAGAUGCAGAAUGAUAAAGGUUAUUUGAUUCCUCUAAGGAAAAAAACGGCUUGAAAAGCAUGAUGUGAAGCACCACAGCUCAACGCACCACAGCAGUGCCAGUCUUUGCUUACAAAUUAAUCAGCAACUCCUCUUGCUCUCUCCCAAAUAAAAGGCGUUUACAUAACCCUUGCAUAACCUGCAGGGCAGAACAACACAGCAGCUGCCUCCGGUUCAGAAGCAGACAGCAGAAUUCAGAGCGGUACGGCUCAUUGCUUGGUCUGCAAACCAGCGAACCACCUCUCCUUCCCUUCCUUCACGAUGGUACAGCAAUUGCAGAAGUCAUGCGUCUCCACCAGGGUGUUACUUAUCUGUUUCUUUUCUUUGUGCUUAGUCUCUUCAGUGUUUUCAGGGAGAGUGAAAGCAGACAGGUUUUGUCAUCUGCUGCUGCUCGUGACCCGCGCAAGGUUCUGCAAGCGUAACAGCGAAGUGGGAGAAACGUCCUUUGUACUUGAUGGAAUAGAAAGGUACCGAUGAAGAGUCAUACCUGAUCGUUGUGUUAAAUAUAUACUUACACUUGUAUUUAAGUGUACUUGUAUGAACGGCCAUGCUAGUUCGCCUCCUCAUAUCUGCUGUGCUUUUGGUCUGUGGCAGACCAGUCACAAGGCGCCGUUCCAUCGAUAGAAGUUUGAAAGCUUUAAGUUCAAGGAAGGCAGCAACCGGGAGCAAAUGCCCCCCUCCACCUCUAAAAGAGAAAAUAAAUUACUGAGGACGUGAAUAAAGAAAGGAUGCUGUUUUAUACCAGGGCGUUAUCCACUAAAAUCCACUUUCGCUGCAAUGAACUCCUGUUUCAGACUCGAAGUAUUUAGUCCGCUGACUGAGUCUGCAAGAGUUUGAAAUGCCCUGGGUGAAUAAAGCUUUGUGGACUUUUGGAUGGGGAAGAGAAGGCUGCUGAACUUUUCCACCCUCCCUUUGAUCUGGACCUGAGAAAAACAGCAGAUGAUUCCCUCUCAAACUGUGGGUUUUUUUUUUUUGUUUUUUUUUUUUAAAUUUAAAUCCUUCAAUAAAAGCAUCGCUCAAAUCCCCA